AACUCCUUGGGGAAAUUCCCCGGGCGUAACGAGAGAGAGUCUCAACCAGAAAUGGUAACCCCGGCGCGGUAGCCGCUUGUUUGCAAAGACGGGUCGAUGAUGUAUGCGUUUCGUUUACGACGUAUAAUUAUCAUCGGUCAAGAGCUUAUACGAGACGGUGCCGUCAAAAAGCCGCCGCCUUAGCAAAGUAAUGCCAUCAUCAUUCGAAUGAUUCACGUCGUUUGGAUGUGGUUACUCAACGGGGGUCAUUA
rnacentral:RNase_MRP_RNA from 14 species